rnacentral:rRNA from 1 species
AUUGAACGCUGGCGGCAUGCUUUACACAUGCAAGUCGAACGGUAACAGGCCGCAAGGUGCUGUCGAGUGGCGAACGGGUGAGUAAUGCAUCGGAACGUGCCCAGUCGUGGGGGAUAACUACUCGAAAGAGUAGCUAAUACCGCAUACGAUCUAUGGAUGAAAGCGGGGGACCGUAAGGCCUCGCGCGAUUGGUGCGGCCGAUGUCAGAUUAGGUAGUUGGUGGGGUAAAGGCUCACCAAGCCAACGAUCUGUAGCUGGUCUGAGAGGACGACCAGCCACACUGGAACUGAGACACGGCCCAGACUCCUACGGGAGGCAGCAGUGGGGAAUUUUGGACAAUGGGCGCAAGCCUGAUCCAGCAAUGCCGCGCGAAGGAAGAAGGCCUUCGGGUUGUAAACUGCUUUUGUACGGAACGAAACGGCUCUGGUUAAUACCCGGGGCUAAUGACGGUACCGUAAGAAUAAGCACCGGCUAACUACGUG